rnacentral:piRNA from 1 species
UCAAGAUGUGUCUGCUAUUCAAGA